CAAUGUUCUCAGGGCGGGGCGAAAUUCCCCACCGGCGGUAUACUCUUUUGAGUGAGCCCGCGAGCGCUCGAUUCGUCGAGGUCAGCAGAUCUGGUGAGAUGCCAGAGCCGACGGUUAUAGUCCGGAUGAAAGAGAAUAAGA
rnacentral:ncRNA from 15 species